UCAGACUCUGGUCCUCCAGAUGUUGCUGAACUACAACUCCCAUGAUUCUUUGAAUAAAAUAAAUAGCCAAAGAAAUAUGGGGGUUGUAGUUCAGCAACAUCUGGAGGGUUAGAGUUUGG